GGAAACCACUUCAAGCACUCCUAGUUCCAGUCCCUAUGUACAUUCACUUUUCUCUUUUCCUCUUCAAGGAAGGUUCGCAAUCCCAUCUCACUAGCAUGAAUUUUCUGUUGGGCAUGGGGUAAUAUGUUCCCGUGCUGUUAUUUUUGUUUCUUUUCCUUAAAUAGAGACUAUGCCUUUAACAAAUUGGCCAGAGGGGACUGGGCUAGGUUAUAAGGAUUUCCAAAAGGAUGGGAUUACCUUGUGUGGUACUCCCAGAGAGCCUGUAGAAAUGCUGAGUGUGUUUACAAUCAUCAGUCCCAAGUAAAGAAAAAAACCCCUAUGUGUAAUUCCGCCUUGCCUUUGUGUUAUUUUUAAAUGCUAUUUAAAUUAUUAACUUUCAUAUGGGUUCAAUUAGGACUCCUGUUUUAACCAGGGUACCAACUCUGAUUAUCACGUGCCACUUCAUGUGUGGCUUGUUUACCAGUUCCCAUAGCCCCUUAGUGACAAUGCUUAUAGCUCAUGAAUUCUGUAAACAAAUAACACAUUUAUUCUCCACUAAGCACAUGUUCAGAAUUCCUAUUAGUAGUUGUAGGCACCCGUUACUGGAGGGGCCUCUGAACUUUUUUUGGGGCGUUCCAAGAGAAAAGCCCAUGUGCUGCAAUCUAGUUUUAGAGAUUACAACUCCCAUGAUGCCUUGGGGAAAGGGGGAGAGACUUCCUCGUGCAAGGAGAGCAGGAAGUGGGUUCCAUUUUGGGGAAAGGAGUGAGAUUGCUGCUGUGGAGCUCUGUCCAUACCAGGAUCUGCUGCUAGGAAGCCAGAAGCUGCUGCUGAGAGCCUGCAGGGGCUUUGAUCCAGCAGGGAGCCUCAGAGGCUAUUGGUGGCUUCACUGGAGCCAGGGCAGAGACUGUUGCUAUGCCUAGUGCUGGGCCUGCAGUGAAGGAACUAAGUAAAGGGACUGCAGCAGAGGGGUGGAUAGAGGAUUCCCACUUAUCCGACAUCACCACUGGGAUACUCAGGAUCUCCUUUAAUGUCAACAACAUCAGGUACCCAGGCACGCAGGUUACAAAGACACAGAGAACACUGCUGAAGCUGCCCAGGCCCAUAUGCCACUAGCCUGUUUUCUGCAGCUGUGUCUGCUGAAGUCGUCAUGGACUGGUGUGGGAAACUGUCCUAGUACAGAAGAAGACAGACUGCCAUCCCUAGAAACCUUCGGGAGAGGAUUGCGGAGUACUGCCAUGAAAGUGUCAUCGAUAUCUCUCAGGAGGACACAACGGACAUUCCUAUAUAUGUAAACAAAUUGAUCCACAUGCUCUGCCCCACUAACCCUAGUAGGGAAUGAAAAUCAGAUAAUUUUCUUUUCUUCUACCCCUUCUUGUACAAGUAAA